GGGAGCCUCCGGUGUAGAUGGAGAGAGACUCGACCCACCCGGAUUCUCCAGCGGAGUCGGUUCUCGGCUUCACCCCUACCCCAGCGGUGCAUUCCGGGCGGCGACUGCAGUCAGCUCUUAUUUCCUUCCCCUAGAGGUUGGUUCCGAGUUAGAAACCGCAUCCCCACCCACUGACUUGAUACCCUCCGGUGAACGAAUGGAUAACAACGGAACAGCCACGGAAUCAGAAAGCAAAGUUGACUUUCACAUCUGUUUGUUGUUUUGUUUUGUUCUUGUUUUUCCCCUGAGGACCAGGCAUGUUCUAAUAGGUUUUCUAAAGCUCGGUGUUUUCUGAAUUGAAGUUUCUGGGUUUUGACAGAUCAGGGAGGCUGCCCAGGAGUCUAAGACUUGGCUUUGUUUUGAUCAGAAAUUUGUGUCUAAAAAUGCUGAAACAUAAUUCAAGACGAUCCAGUUGACAAAUGGAUAUCCCUCUCCGUCUUCCC
ensembl:lncRNA